rnacentral:rRNA from 1 species
GAAACCCAGUGCAAUUCGUUGCACUAUUGCAUGGUGAAUACAUAGCCAUGCAAGGCGAACCGGGGGAACUGAAACAUCUAAGUACCCCGAGGAAAAGAAAUCAACCGAGAUUCCCCCAGUAGCGGCGAGCGAACGGGGAGGAGCCCAGAACCUGAAUCAGCGUAUGUGUUAGUGGAAGCGUCUGGAAAGUCGCACGGUACAGGGUGAUAGUCCCGUACACAAAAAUGCAUAUGUUGUGAGUUCGAUGAGUAGGGCGGGACACGUGACAUCCUGUCUGAAUAUGGGGGGACCAUCCUCCAAGGCUAAAUACUCCUGACUGACCGAUAGUGAACCAGUACCGUGAGGGAAAGGCGAAAAGAACCCCGGCGAGGGGAGUGAAAUAGAACCUGAAACCGUGUACGUACAAGCAGUGGGAGCACCUUCGUGGUGUGACUGCGUACCUUUUGUAUAAUGGGUCAGCGACUUAUAUUUUGUAGCAAGGUUAACCGAAUAGGGGAGCCGUAGGGAAACCGAGUCUUAACUGGGCGAAUAGUUGCAAGGUAUAGACCCGAAACCCGGUGAUCUAGCCAUGGGCAGGUUGAAGGUUGGGUAACACUAACUGGAGGACCGAACCGACUAAUGUUGAAAAAUUAGCGGAUGACUUGUGGCUGGGGGUGAAAGGCCAAUCAAACCGGGAGAUAGCUGGUUCUCCCCGAAAGCUAUUUAGGUAGCGCCUCGUGAACUCAUCUUCGGGGGUAGAGCACUGUUUCGGCUAGGGGGUCAUCCCGACUUACCAAACCGAUGCAAACUCCGAAUACCGAAGAAUGUUAUCACGGGAGACACACGGCGGGUGCUAACGUCCGUCGUGAAGAGGGAAACAACCCAGACCGCCAGCUAAGGUCCCAAAGUCAUGGUUAAGUGGGAAACGAUGUGGGAAGGCAUAGACAGCCAGGAUGUUGGCUUAGAAGCAGCCAUCAUUUAAAGAAAGCGUAAUAGCUCACUGGUCGAGUCGGCCUGCGCGGAAGAUGUAACGGGGCUAAACCAUGCACCGAAGCUGCGGCAGCGACGCUUAGGCGUUGUUGGGUAGGGGAGCGUUCUGUAAGCCGUUGAAGGUGACCUGUGAGGGUUGCUGGAGGUAUCAGAAGUGCGAAUGCUGACAUAAGUAACGAUAAUGCGGGUGAAAAACCCGCACGCCGGAAGACCAAGGGUUCCUGUCCAACGUUAAUCGGGGCAGGGUGAGUCGACCCCUAAGGCGAGGCUGAAAAGCGUAGUCGAUGGGAAACAGGUUAAUAUUCCUGUACUUGGUGUUACUGCGAAGGGGGGACGGAGAAGGCUAGGCUAGCCGGGCGACGGUUGUCCCGGUUUAAGCAUGUAGGCGGAGUGACUUGGUAAAUCCGGUUGCUUAUCAACGCUGAGGUGUGAUGACGAGUCACUACGGUGAUGAAGUAGUUGAUGCCAAGCUUCCAGGAAAAGCCUCUAAGCAUCAGGUAACAUUAAAUCGUACCCCAAACCGACACAGGUGGUCAGGUAGAGAAUACUCAGGCGCUUGAGAGAACUCGGGUGAAGGAACUAGGCAAAAUGGUGCCGUAACUUCGGGAGAAGGCACGCUGGCAUUAGGUAAAGGGACUUGCUCCCGGCGCCGAAGCCAGUCGCAGAUACCAGCUGGCUGCAACUGUUUAAUAAAAACACAGCACUGUGCAAACACGAAAGUGGACGUAUACGGUGUGACGCCUGCCCGGUGCUGGAAGGUUAAUUGAUGGGGUCAGCCGCAAGGCGAAGCUCUUGAUCGAAGCCCCAGUAAACGGCGGCCGUAACUAUAACGGUCCUAAGGUAGCGAAAUUCCUUGUCGGGUAAGUUCCGACCUGCACGAAUGGCGUAAUGAUGGCCAGGCUGUCUCCACCCGAGACUCAGUGAAAUUGAACUCGCUGUGAAGAUGCAGUGUACCCGCGGCAAGACGGAAAGACCCCGUGAACCUUUACUAUAGCUUGACACUGAACAUUGAGCCUUGAUGUGUAGGAUAGGUGGGAGGCAUUGAAGUGUGGACGCCAGUCUGCAUGGAGCCAACCUUGAAAUACCACCCUUUAAUGUUUGAUGUUCUAACUCGGCCCCAUAAUCUGGGGUGAGGACAGUGUCUGGUGGGUAGUUUGACUGGGGCGGUCUCCUCCCAAAGAGUAACGGAGGAGCACGAAGGUUAGCUAAUCACGGUCGGACAUCGUGAGGUUAGUGCAAAGGCAUAAGCUAGCUUGACUGCGAGAGUGACGGCUCGAGCAGGUACGAAAGUAGGUCUUAGUGAUCCGGUGGUUCUGAAUGGAAGGGCCAUCGCUCAACGGAUAAAAGGUACUCCGGGGAUAACAGGCUGAUACCGCCCAAGAGUUCAUAUCGACGGCGGUGUUUGGCACCUCGAUGUCGGCUCAUCACAUCCUGGGGCUGAAGUAGGUCCCAAGGGUAUGGCUGUUCGCCAUUUAAAGUGGUACGCGAGCUGGGUUUAGAACGUCGUGAGACAGUUCGGUCCCUAUCUGCCGUGGGCGUUGGAAGAUUGAGAGGGGCUGCUCCUAGUACGAGAGGACCGGAGUGGACGAAUCACUGGUGUUCGGGUUGUCAUGCCAAUGGCAUUGCCCGGUAGCUAAAUUCGGAAGAGAUAACCGCUGAAAGCAUCUAAGCGGGAAACUUGCCUCGAGAUGAGUCUUCCCUGGGGCUUUAAGCCCCCUGAAGGAACGUUAAAGACUAUGACGUUGAUAGGCUGGGUGUGUAAGUGCAGCGAUGCAUUGAGCUAACCAGUACUAAUGAUCCGU